CCCUCGCGCCAUCAGAGAGUUUGAUCCUGGCUCAGAACGAACGCUGGCGGCAGGCCUAACACAUGCAAGUCGAGCGCGCCCUUCGGGGUGAGCGGCGGACGGGUUAGUAACGCGUGGGAACGUGCCCAGAUCUAAGGAAUAGCCACUGGAAACGGUGAGUAAUACCUUAUACGCCCUUCGGGGGAAAGAUUUAUCGGAUUUGGAUCGGCCCGCGUUAGAUUAGGUAGUUGGUGGGGUAAUGGCCUACCAAGCCUACGAUCUAUAGCUGGUUUUAGAGGAUGAUCAGCAACACUGGGACUGAGACACGGCCCAGACUCCUACGGGAGGCAGCAGUGGGGAAUCUUGGACAAUGGGGGCAACCCUGAUCCAGCCAUGCCGCGUGAGUGAUGAAGGCCUUAGGGUCGUAAAGCUCUUUCGCCUGUGAUGAUAAUGACAGUAGCAGGUAAAGAAACCCCGGCUAACUCCGUG
rnacentral:rRNA from 1 species